UAAGUUUGUUUGAUUCUGACGAGUUUUGUGCCUAUGAAUAUAGAGGAAUCGCAGUAACCCAAAGAGGCAAUAGGGAAUUUUGAUACUCUCAAUCAACGCUGUCAUUAUAUGAGUAUCAUAUUCUCUUAAUCAAUACUGUCAUUAUAUGAGAAUCAUAUGUGAGAAUUCAACUCCUGAAUCUCUAAUUUACACCUAAAUAAUUAGCAAUUUUGGGAAAUAUAUUGUAAAAAUUUUGGAGCAAUGCUGUACAACUUAAAGAUGAAUGAUGAAUCUAAGAGAGCAGCACUAUGUAGAAUAUGUUAGAACAAGCAGAAACUAUUUCCCUCUAUAUGAAAAAUCUUUUCUGGAGUAUUAUCAUAGGAUCUAGCUGCUGCUAAUAUGUAUAAGUAGCUCUUCAAAGAUUUCCAUUUUGAUUUGAUCAUUUUGGUUACAAUUACCGUAAAGUUUAUAGAUAACAUAAAGCACUUAACCUUUUGCUUAGUUAAUCUUAGUCUGAAGUAAAAUAAAAUAGCUAUUCUUGUGCACAGAGAGUUGAAUUUUAGCGUUUUGGUUCAAUGAACUUUCUUUUUUAUAAUAUUUCCUCAGUUUGAAUUUCUAGUAGUCCUAUGGAGCUGAGGGUUGUCCUACUUCCCCAGCAAUUAAUUGUCUUGUUAAUGAAGGUUGUGGACUGCUAUGCGGACUUCCUAUGCCAGAUAGUACAGCUCCCCAUCCUAGGAUCUAGACAGCAUUGCUCAUCUAAUGGUAUAUGGCGUCUGCGUGUCCUUAAUAAGCUAUUUCAUUAAGAAAAUGUCUAAGAACCUAAUAACGAAGA
rnacentral:misc_RNA from 1 species